GAUGAUCAGUCAUGCUGGCUUAAAGCUCACACUGGAGAUGUUUACAGUCCAACAUGAAGGUGAACGUCAGAGAGCGUUGAUGUGAUUGAGCCUCUGAACCGGACGCCUCCUCCUGAGGUGUUUCAGGGAAGUUCAACUGAGAUGAGACCCUGAUGUAAACCAGGGGAGAAGGUAUUUCUUUGGCCAUCUCUGCCCAUCCGCUUCUUACACUGACCCAGAUAAGCACAAGAAAAAUGGAUGGAUGCUUCUGUUUCAUGUGAUGGUAUUCAAGUUUCACAGAUCUAUCCUGACACUGAUGGACUGAACCUGAAUUCAAAUUUGAGAUACUUUGAUAAGAAGGUCCUCAUGAAGACAAAGAACAAGCGAAUCUGCUUGAAGCAAUAUAAGAAGAUUCAUCUCACUGGAUUUGUAACACUCACACUGCCUCCAACAACCACUGAAAACAGCGAGAUGAAGUUGGAGAGACGCAGGUGUGUGUGUUUUUGGGGGGGG